AUGGCCGUGUGGCCCGUAAAGGCGACCAUACUGGGUGCAACGGAUACAGUGGAUGACGUGUGUGGAUGUGCAGAUCUGAGCGAUGCAGUUUCUGUUACUCAACGGUAUCUUUCGUUAACGCAGACAGAGGGACAAGAUGUCACGUUAAAUUGCAUCUACACUGAAGAUGGUUAUUACUUGUACUGGUACCGUCAGUACUCGGGCAGAGAGCCAGAGUUUGCAGUUCAGAGGCACACGGGCGGAUUUGGUGAAUUGGAGGCAGAUUUCGCUCAGACCCGGUUUUCUGUUACCUUCCAGACGACAGAGAAGUUGUGCCAAUUGACCAUCUUGCAGCUUCUGCUGUCUGACACAGCCGUCUAUUACUGUGCAAUAAGCCUCACAGUGACAGAAAGGAGUGAAAGCCUUGUACAAUAA